GACGAACGCUGGCGGCGUGCUUAACACAUGCAAGUCGAACGGAAAGGCCCUGCUUUUGUGGGGUGCUCGAGUGGCGAACGGGUGAGUAACACGUGAGUAACCUGCCCUUGACUUUGGGAUAACUUCAGGAAACUGGGGCUAAUACCGGAUAGGAGCUCCUGCUGCAUGGUGGGGGUUGGAAAGUUUCGGCGGUUGGGGAUGGACUCGCGGCUUAUCAGCUUGUUGGUGGGGUAGUGGCUUACCAAGGCUUUGACGGGUAGCCGGCCUGAGAGGGUGACCGGCCACAUUGGGACUGAGAUACGGCCCAGACUCCUACGGGAGGCAGCAGUGGGGAAUAUUGCACAAUGGGCGGAAGCCUGAUGCAGCAACGCCGCGUGCGGGAUGACGGCCUUCGGGUUGUAAACCGCUUUCGCCUGUGACGAAGCGUGAGCGACGGUAAUGGGUAAAGAAGCACCGGCUAACUACGUC
rnacentral:rRNA from 1 species